CUCUCGGUUACUCAGCCUUGUACACAGAGGUGGAGCAUGAGUGUUCUGCUCACUUCUCAAGACCUUCUGAGAAGAGGAGUCAUUUGUCAAACAGAGCCAGAAGGUGCCAAUGCUAAGGGUCACAUCACCAGUAAUCCGUUGGAAAAGAAAAACCAUGAAGAAGUUUCCACCAGAAAUUACUUCCACUUGGCUAAAGACUUUGCUGUUUAACUACAAAGGGCCCAGGUCUGGAUCUGGCUGCAUCCCUCUGUGGAAUGUCUGCCUGCAUUUUCACUGGAGAACAGUUUCCAGACAUUGUAAAGCAAUGGUAUGGUCCUUCCUCAGUCUCUCUCCAUGCCCAGGCAGGACUCAGCCAGACCCUCUCACAUAUGAAGAUCCAGACCUGCGGAACACUGACACGGAGCUGUUUGCUUCAGGCUAGCUUGCUCUCAGUGAUUCUGUAUGGUGCCUUGGUGUCUCUCAUGCUGCCAUCAUCACCAACAAAGUCUUGUACAGCA